CCUGGAUCACAGAAAGAACCCCGUGUAUAACUGGAGUCCUAAAAUCCAGGGUAUCAUCUUCAGUUCCAUCUUUUAUGGUGUAAUCAUCACCCAAAUUCCUGUCGGAUACUUGUCUGAGAAAUACUCCAUCAAGAAAAUGAUCGGCUCUGCAUUAUUCCUCAGCUCUCUACUUAGCCUGUUAAUGCCAAUGGCAGCUGAAGGUGGAGAAGCUUUCCUCCUGGCAUGCCGAGUAGUCCAGGGAGCAGCCCAGGGAUCGGUAUUCAUAGCUCAGCACGUCACGUGGGUCAAGUGGGCUCCUCCCUUGGAACGAGGCCGACUCACCUCCCUGAGUCUAUCAGGUAAUGACGUAGGGCCUAGAAUGUUUGAAUCCCGCUAUCAUCUUAUUCUAGCACGUUCUUCCUAGACCUGUGAAAGUUGUGUGUUUUGAAGUGUCCAGGGCUUUGGAAACCAUCUGCUCCAGCAUCCUUGCUUUAAAGAUGUGGAAACUUUCUAGAAUGAAGAAAAGGCUCCUUUACCUCAAACAACA